AGUCGUAAAGUCUUCCCUAUUUUGGCACCCUCAAAGCCUCUGUACCUUUAAAUGUUGGUAGAGGUCGAGCACAAACAACCUAUACUGAGGAAGGCGGGAAAGAGAGGUGGAAAGGAUGCAAAAAUCUUCAGAUAAAAAGCACACCACAGCAGCUGCGGGAUCCUGAGAGCCCAAUCCUAUUUCGUGAAUGGAGUGAGAACACCUGAAAUCCUAAUACUGGCUCCUGAGAAUUAAUCAAGUUCACACUCCCUGUCUACUCUGCUCACAUCCUUGACUUCCUGGCUUUACGCACCCGGAAGAAUUAACGAAGGUGUCUUCAAACCCAGGGGUUUCCUUGUUUAUCUUGCAAUAGGACGUUCAGAAAAGCGUUAAGUUCUUCCCAUUAGAAGUUCCGUUUAGGUCACGUCCUGUGUGUCAUACUGGCAUUUGCGCGGGACUAUGCUAUUUUUUAUUAUUUUUAAAAAUUGUUUGGAAAGAUUAAACAUAUAUUCCUCUUU
rnacentral:lncRNA from 1 species